UUUCAGUUCCAAAAAGAUCUGUGGAUGGUGGUGGAGAUGGUCCUCAAUUUUUUUGUGAAGAACCUCCCUUACUAGUCAAAAAGAAGAAAGAGGCAACAAAAGUGGCUAGAUCUGAACAAGCCAAUGAGAAGAAAAAGGUGAAGAAAAGAAAAUCCAAAUCAGAGAAUGAUGAAAAUUCUGAGCCACCCAAACACAAACUGAAGAAACCAAAGAAGAAAAUCACAGGAAAUAAGGAGGAGAAAAAGCCACAGGGUGAAUCAGAGCGAGGGGAAAGGGUGAGGAAAGGAAAAGAUGGAGCGAAGAAAUCAAAGGAUAGUGGAGAAAAGAGAUGU